CCUCCAUUAGCAGAGCUUAGGCCGGCAGCAGUCAGAAAUGUCUGCUGGAGAAGACACUGCAAAGUGUCAGUGAGGGCGUUUGAGAAUUAAUUUUACCCUAGAGUAGCUGCGCAGGUCUGUUUAGCACUCACCUCUACAGUUUUGAACAUUCGAUAACACCAGAAUCAGUCUGAUGCCUUGAACACUUUACAUGAAGGGUUUUUCAAAAUCUAGCCACAAACAGAUAUGACCAGAUUUCAAAAAAUUUUGAGAAACUAGGAGGAAUCUAUUUUGACAAAGCCAAGCCACACAUAGGAUAGAGGCAGACAUGCGUGCCCUGGAAAGAAGAAAGUAGAAGGAUCAACUAAAAGAGCUCUCCCACUAAAUGGCUGUGGGCUCCUCUAAGAAACUGAAACAUGGAAGAAGGAAGGACCAGCCAGCCAGAACAGCAGUGGGUAUCAAGGAAUGAUAUAAAAGCAAGCUCAAGACAGUCAAGAUUCAAGGAGCUAUAUACCUUGCUUCCUUUCCAGAGCUGAAAUUUGAGUCAAGAGUCCAUUUCUUCCAUCUGGCCAGAUGAUCUCCAGGAUACUCUCAUAGGUACCACUGGGAACUUGGGGAUUACAGACCAUUUAAACUCCACCUUGAUAUCUAUCAGGACAACAGAAGGAGAGUUUACAGAAGAAAAGAAGCAUACAAUGCAGAUAAGGUGGAUGUGACACUAGGUCUCAGCAUGGCUUUCCCUGGGGAGGCUUGGCCUCUGCAGCCAGGCACUUCAAAUAUGCCAUGCCACUGUCUCCAGGCCUGUAAGGUUUCCACUGAAA
rnacentral:lncRNA from 1 species